rnacentral:rRNA from 1 species
UACAGAGGUCUCAAGCGUUGUUCGGAUUCAUUGGCGUAAAGGGUGCGUAGGUGGCGCCGUAAGUCAGGUGUGAAAUUUCGGAGCUUAACUCCGAAACUGCAUUGAUACUGCGGUGCUUGAGGACUGGAGAGGAGACUGGAAUUUACGGUGUAGCAGUGAAAUGCGUAGAGAUCGUAAGGAAGACCAGUGGCGAAGGCGGGUCUCUGGACAGUUCCUGACACUGAGGCACGAAGGCCAGGGGAGCAAACGGG